UGUUAUCGGAACCCCGUUCGACCUCAAAGCAUUUUCGAUAGCCGUAGUCACAACUAGGCAUCGACAUUUUUAACUAGCAUUGUUCGAAGUAGUGCAUGUUGCUUCUGCAACCAUGACAGAAUCCGAAAUUUCUUCCUCUCCUGGAAAUGAAACAAACUCGUCAAAAAGAUAGGCUCGAAGAUGUAGUUAACUGAUUGAUUAUACAUACAUAAGAUUGAAAAUAUGAUAAAAUAAAAGUUCAUUUUCCAUCGUACAUACGUGAAAUUCGAAUUUAUCCCUAAAGAAAGUAUGAAAUAAAAGUUCAUCUUCCAUCAUACAUACAUGGAAUUCCCUUGCAAAUGCCAGGAGGCUUUUUUUUUUUUUUUUCCACACAAACUCAAGGGUUCAUUUUCUUUGCCAAGUGAGAACCUUUUUUUUUUCGAUAGCAUAUAUGAAUUUACUAGCUACUGUGCGUGCAAGAGUAACUAUUGUACUAAUUUUGGUUUUCUCAUUACACAAUCUGGUAUUCAAUCUCAAAACCGGUGCAGGACAUUCAUCUUCAUAAAACAACAAGAACACUUCUCAUAAAAAAUGAAUUCAGAACAACCUGUGCAGGAAAUUCCAUCUUCAUUUCCCCAUUAUAACAACCGGUGCAGGAAUUUCAAUCUCCUUAUGGAAAACCGAGUUACCAACAAAGCCAAAAUGGUAGCACCCAUCUUCAUAAACCAACAAGAAGUCUCGUAAUAUAUGGAACUUACUCAAACAAAGAUUAAUCAAAAUCCAAAAUCCAAACUUGUAUUCUGGGAAAACUUUGGAAAUUCAAACAUGGUAAUUAUAAAAAACCAUUAUCCAAUCUGAGAACUCAUGUCCAACAACAACUUAACAAAUACUUACAUUGAUGCCAGGGGAUGGAUGUGUGGCUGAGGUGACUGCGGCGCUGGGGAACUUAUGCUACAGUGCGGCGGUCGAUUGUAGCUUGGGGUACGAGCUUAGGGCACACUGACGAA
rnacentral:lncRNA from 1 species